rnacentral:rRNA from 1 species
AACGAACGCUGGCGGCAUGCCUAACACAUGCAAGUCGAACGAGACCUUCGGGUUUAGUGGCGCACGGGUGCGUAACGCGUGGUAACCUGCCCUUAGGUUCGGAAUAACUCCCCGUAAGGGGUCCUAAUACCGGUUAAUGUCUUCGGACCAAAGAUUUAUCGCCAUUGGAUGGGCCCGCGUUGGAUUAGCUAGUUGGUAGGGUAAAAGCCUACCAAGGCGACGAUCCAUAGCUGGUCUGAGAGGAUGAUCAGCCACACUGGCACUGAGACACGGCCCAGACUCCGACGGGGGGCAGCAGUGGGGAAUAUUGGACGAUGGACGAAAGCCUGAUCCAGCAAUGCGGCGUAAGUGAGGAAGGGCUUAGGGUUGUGAAGCUCUUUGACACGGGAUGAUAAUGACAGUAACGGGAGAAUAAGCACCGGCUAACUCCGUG